GUUGUAUAUUUUCAGGGCCUCGGACGAUGGAGGACGGAGGAGGACCAAUGGCGCCCAACGGAAGAAGAAGAGUCCAUUGCUCAGUUAUGUCCAGUGCCCAAUAUUGAUGAAAGAGCAGAAGACGGUUUAGGCUGACCCGGAUGCCGUCUUGAGACGAAGUUUGUCUCCCAUUUAACUGCAGCCACCCCUGUAAGAUGCGGAUGCAGACCGACGGGGCCCGUCAGAAGAAGAGCGCUAGGAGCCGAUUCCGCAGCCAGGAAGCCUAAUAGAGAAGGAUUUUUGUUUCUUUUUUUUUCCUUUUUGUCUCUUUUCCGUCUUCUCCAAUUUCCUUCAAUCUCUAACAUAACUAACUUCCUCCCCCCCCCCCCUUCCCUUCCUCCCAUUUACCCUUUCCUGACCUAACUGUCUUCAUUUGCUAACUUAUUUUUCCUCUAAUUUUCAUGUAAUGAUUACGCGUACGCGAAUUUGUGUCUUUCUUCUUCAGUAUUCUGAAUUUUUUUACUAAUCUUCUGUCAGUUGUAUAUUUUCAGGGCCUCGGACGAUGGAGGACGGAGGAGGACCAAUGGCGCCCAACGGAAGAAGAAGAGUCCAUUGCUCAGUUAUGUCCAGUGCCCAAUAUUGAUGAAAGAGCAGAAGACGGUUUAGGCUGACCCGGAUGCCGUUUUGAGACGAAGUUUGUCUCCCAUUCAACUGCAGCCACCCCUGUAAGAUGCGGAUGCAGACCGACGGGGCCCGUCAGAAGAAGAGCGCUAGGAGCCGAUUCCGCAGCCAGGAAGCCUCAUAGAGAAGGAUUUUUGUUUCUUUUUUCCUUUUUGUCUAUUUUCCGUCUUCUCCAAUUUCCUUCAAUCUCUAACAUAACUAACUUCCCCCCCCCCUUCCCUUCCUCCCCUUUACCCUUUCCUGACCUAACUGUCUUCAUUUGCUAACUUAUUUUUCCUCUAAUUUUCAUGUAAUGAUUACGCGUACGCGAAUUUGUGUCUUUCUUCUUCAGUAUUCUGAUUUUUUACUAAUCUUCUGUCAGUUGUAUAUUUUCAGGGCCUCGGACGAUGGACGACGGAGGAGGACCAAUGCCGUCCAACGGAAGAUUGAAUGAUUGAUUGUAUGUUGAAGAAGAAAAGUCUAUUGUCCAGUUAUGCCCAGUACUCAAUAUUGAUGAAAGAGAUUUUCAGUGUUAUCAGUGGAAUGAUUAGGGAAGCAUCAUUACUACUGUUACGUACAACUCAAUUUUUUUUAGCAGGUGUCUUUGAAUUAGGGAUCAAUCACAGAUGCAUUGUAAGGCAGUUCUCUGUCUUCAGCUCUAGAGAGAGAGGACUUUCACUUGAAAAGCAAGAUUGCUGAGAGUUCAGGGAUGAACUGCGGCCAACCCACGGUCAGGAUUAGGAUACUUUCUAUCCCAAGACGAAGAUCGGUCUGUGGUCUGCUAGACCAAAAAAUGUUUAAUGAGUUCAUGAAUGGAUUGUGGGCAACCUAAUUAAGGCAGUAAAAGAGCAGACGGUCACCUUCCAGCAAAAGUUCAGCGAUGGGCUGCCGCCUAUAAAAGAC